rnacentral:rRNA from 1 species
GGGUGAGUAACACGUGAGCAACCUGCCCCGGACUCUGGGAUAAGCGCUGGAAACGGCGUCUAAUACUGGAUAUGAGCUGCGAAGGCAUCUUCAGCAGUUGGAAAGAUUUUUUGGUCUGGGAUGGGCUCGCGGCCUAUCAGCUAGUUGGUGAGGUAACGGCUCACCAAGGCGUCGACGGGUAGCCGGCCUGAGAGGGUGACCGGCCACACUGGGACUGAGACACGGCCCAGACUCCUACGGGAGGCAGCAGUGGGGAAUAUUGCACAAUGGGCGCAAGCCUGAUGCAGCAACGCCGCGUGAGGGAUGACGGCCUUCGGGUUGUAAACCUCUUUUAGCAAGGAAGAAGCGAAAGUGACGGUACUUGCAGAAAAAGCGCCGGCUAACUACGUGCCAGCAGCCGCGGUAAUACGUAGGGCGCAAGCGUUAUCCGGAAUUAUUGGGCGUAAAGAGCUCGUAGGCGGUCUGUCGCGUCUGCUGUGAAAACCCGAGGCUCAACCUCGGGCCUGCAGUGGGUACGGGCAGACUAGAGUGCGGUAGGGGAGAUUGGAAUUCCUGGUGUAGCGGUGGAAUGCGCAGAUAUCAGGAGGAACACCGAUGGCGAAGGCAGAUCUCUGGGCCGUAACUGACGCUG